UAUAUUUAUAUUGUGCAGACGAAUUAGAAUGUACUUUCCAAUACUCUGUGUACACUAAUAUGGCCAGUUGUUUAAAUAGGCUGGAAUUACUGAUCCAUUGGACUUUCCGUUAGCACUUGAUCAGUUGUUGAAGUUGGAAAUGGCUAUGAAGGUUAAGUGGCAUCCACGCUGGAAGAACUGUUCCGUCGUUAUGAUUAUAAAAAAUGAUCCUAUUAUCCAGCAACUUAAGGAAAAAUGGGGAACAGAUGAGGAACCUAUUCCAAUCCAAACUGUCGUACCUGAGACUCUGGAGAUUAAAGAGAGUGUUGAUGAGGCUAAAACAGAUGCCAAUGAAGACUGUGAAUUGGUUACAG